rnacentral:rRNA from 1 species
AUAUCAAUAAGCGGAGGAAAAGAAACCAACAGGGAUUGCCCCAGUAACGGCGAGUGAAGCGGCAAUAGCUCAAAUUUGAAAUCUGGCCCUUUCAGGGUCCGAGUUGUAAUUUGCAGAGGGCGCUUUGGUGUCGGCAGCAGCCUAAGUUCCUUGGAACAGGUCAUCAUAGAGGGUGAGAAUCCCGUAUGUGGCUGCUUGUCUUCACCGUGUAAAGCCCCUUCGAUGAGUCGAGUUGUUUGGGAAUGCAGCUCUAAAUGGGAGGUAAAUUUCUUCUAAAGCUAAAUAUUGGCCAGAGACCGAUAGCGCACAAGUAGAGUGAUCGAAAGAUGAAAAGCACUUUGGAAAGAGAGUCAAAAAGCAC